UGAUUGAUUUUGUAGCAAGUCUUGGCUUCUUGCCGAGUUGCCGUAGACGUACACGUAUUUAUUUAUUUAUUGAGAACGCUCAAGAAUCGACCUGUCGCCGUUUGUGUAGAAGCGGUGGAUCAAGCCGAUCGACCGCUAGGCUGGUGUCAGCCUUAUCUCUAAGGACAGUCCCUCGUUUCUAUCCCUUUCGCUUCCCCUCUGCUAAUCCAGUAGCCUGCCUCCCUGCCCUGCCUCUCUGCCUCCUCCAACCGCACUUGGAGAGGAGCUCUCCUCUGCGCCACGAGCCGCCUCAAGCAGGCUGCCAAGCCCGGCUGGCGCCCUCUCCUCUCUCUUGGGGAAGGGCGUUACCAUGGAACCCGCAGCACCCCAGCCGCCUUGGAGCUCACACCGCCUCCGGCCAUAUCUCUGUCAGCCUCGUGCUCCUUCACCUCGAUCCGUCCAUCCCGCCGCCGGAUCAAGGUCGGAGCAGCCGGAUCCGGCUUCUCUUGCCUGGCUUGCCAUCGGGAGGAGGACGACAGAGGAGGGCCCGUUCACACGCCGUGUAGGCCACGCAGCUGGCUCCGCCCAGCUCGCCUGUGAAGCCAUCGUUCAUAUCACACUCAUCUGGCAGCUGGCUACAUCGGCUCUCUCUCUCUCUCUCUCUCUCUCUCUCUCUCUCUCUCUCAUGAGGUAGAGGAUGAAUGGGGCUCGCAUGUCUUCCUUUCUAUUUCCUUCGUCACUGAUUCUCUGUGUCCAUAUA